UCCUCCCCGGCUUACACCUGUUUUCAGUCACGAUCACCACACACACCAGAUCACACUCACCUGUAUUCUGAUCACCUGCACCUGCCGUCUCCAAUCAAGCCACUUUCAAGAACACGCUCCUCACAGUCACUCAUCGUCUGGGCUACCAUUCACUACUCUGAACCUUACCAGACUUUCUUUAUGCUAGUUACCUGGUUAUCCUUACCUCUAGUUCCCUGAAGAUCUCCAUCUGUGGUUCUCUUCUGCUCCUGGAUCCCGAACCCUCCGUGCACCUACAAAGGAACUAUACAUCAGGACCAGUGUUGGGCUAGUUACUCAAACCAUUGAUUUCUGAAGGGUCCUUCUAGCUCGGAGCCGUGCUUUCAGGCCGCUUCACUCCAUCAAACAGCUGAUAAAAUGGUCCAGAGAGAGACAGACUGCUUUGCCUGAUGUGUAUACCAGGGCUUGUGAAAUUGACCAGAUAAACUCCAAUCACGCUGGCUGUGGAAAAAUUUCCAACCCGACCCUUACGCAGAAACAGUGUCUAUCUGGCCUGAAUAUGAUCAUGUGAUGGUCUGGGAGUCAAAUUAUAAUAAUUUUAUUCUCAAAUGCCUUCUCUUGCUGUCAAAAUUCUCACAUUUUUUGUGUUUAUUUUUCAGCCAGGUGUGACAUCAUGCUACGUUGCUUCACCGCGUGACCUAGGAGCUCAAACAGAAGUCCAGAUAAGGAUGUGGCUGCUUGAAUACCCCUGUGUGUUUCCCAUAGUUUCCCAGACUGAAAAAAACCUCUGAGUCAAUGCCUGAGAAUGCAGAGCGGGCAUUGAAAACUACUGCAGUCUGCACAAAUGCCCUCUGUGUGACGAUAUAUGCAGAUAAUAUAAAAAAAAACAGCUUGAACCAUUCUUGCUGGUUUAGAGA